rnacentral:rRNA from 1 species
UCAGACGAUGCGUCAUGCAUAUCAAUAAGCGGAGGAAAAGAAACUAACAAGGAUUCCCUCAGUAACGGCGAGUGAAGUGGGAAGAGCUCAAAUUUGAAAUCUUGAAAGGUCACCUUUCACGAAUUGUAGUUUAAAGAAGUGUUUUCUGUUACGAUCGUAAUAUAAGUUCUUUGGAAUAGGACAUCACAGAGGGUGAGAAUCCCGUCUAUGAUUGCGAUUUGUAGCUUUGUGAUACACUUUCAAAGAGUCGGGUUGUUUGGGAAUGCAGCCCAAAACGGGAGGUAAAUUUCUUCUAAGGCUAAAUAAUUGGCGAGAGACCGAUAGGCGAACAAGUACCGUGAGGGAAAGAUGAAAAGAACUUUGAAAAGAGAGUUAAACAGUACGUGAAAUUGUCAAAAGGGAAGCGUUUAGACACCAGUGUUGUUUUCUGAAAAUCAACCUCUGUUAGCUUUAUGCAUGUUUGUUUAGACCUAAUCAGCUAUCUUGCAUGUUCUAUUGUUUGCAGUGGUGCACUUUUCAGUUUACAGGUCAACAUCAGUUUUUUUUACCGUAAAAAAGUUAAAGAAAGGUAGCUCAUGGCUCCGGUCGUGAGUGUUAUAGUCUUUUUCCUAUGCGGUAGGAGAGACUGAGGUCUGCAGUGUAGGCUAUUUGGCUAGAUACUCAGGUGCUAUGUGAUACCAUUUCAUAAACAACUUGUUGAUUAUGUUUUGUCUAUUGCAUACUCGCUUGUACUAUCAUACCUACGCUUAGGAUGUUGACUGAUAUGUAGUCGUA